rnacentral:lncRNA from 1 species
GCCGGGCGUGGUGGCACAUGCCUGUAAUCCCAGCUACUCGGGAGGCUGAGGCACGAGAAUUGCUUGAACCUGGGAGGCGGAGGUUGCAGUGAGCUGAGAUCAUAUAAUUGCACUCCAGCCUGGGCGACAGAGCAAGACUCUGUCUCCAAAAAAAAAAAAAAAACCUCACGUCCAAGAUGGUAGCCACAGGUCACAUGUGGUUCUUCAGUACUUGAAAAUGGCAAGUGACUGAGGAACUGAGUUUUUCAAUUUUUUUUUUUUUUUUGAGACAGAGUCUGACUCUGUCACCCAGGCUGGGGUGCAUUGGUGUGAUCUCGGCUCAUUGCAACC